GCCCGACGCGAUCUGCCCCAAACAAUCCUCGCACGGUCGCGCCGGAUGGUGGGGACCGCGUGUCGCUCGUAGGCCGUGCCCGGCUCGGCGAAUCACCGCGCUGCGUCCACCACCGCGCGCAUACGUCCGGCGGUGGGCGCGAAUACGUCCACCAGCACGGCUCAGUUCAAACUUCGACACGCUGUCUGACGAACGCGCGUACGUGUUUGAGCCCGAGCCGAGUUACGAGGUUUUACGCACACCAGUGAUGUGACAUCGUUUCAGUGCGAUAUCCUAUUUUUUUUUUAUUUAUUUCUCCCUUAUGCUGGACGUUGGACACGUUCGGGCUGGUUUUUUUUUGUACGAAUAUUCUUGGUGGAUGUCGAUGUUGAUUAUUGGUGUUUUUCUGUGAUAAGAGACUGUUUUGAUAUUAACUGUUGAUGUUUCUAUUAUCGUUGCACGAUAUCUGUGCUUUCUUCAACGCUGGCGUUGUAGAAAUUUUUUGUACAAUUGGAGAUCUUUCCAUCCGUCCCCGGCAACAAGAAUCGGAACAGAUGGU